AUCUUGCUUCUUUUUGAGUCUGUGGUGAAUCUUGAUCCUUGGAAAGGGGAUCUCAACUUGCUUGUGUGAGAUGACAGCCCAAGAGUAUUUGCCAAAAGUUGGGAAAAUGCCAAGUUUUCAUUAAACCUCUUGUAAACCCCAAAUUGCUGUCCUGCGAGGCUACAUCUGGCAAGGAAGCCAUCUGCGAUUCGUAUAGUCUUGCUCCAACAAAACGACAACAGUGUGAAAAACUCUUUUCUCUGGUCGGCAGUGAACUGUAAAAGUAACAUUAGUAAUAGCUUCUGCAGGCUCAGUAAUGACAUAAUUGACAUUGGCUGAAAGCACAAGCCCCAACUGCGGGGUCUUGCCAAGGCUCUGGAUUGAUUCAUAUCAUCCUUCAAAAAUACAGGUCAUAGUCAAUAGCCCUCUUGGAUGCUGCUUCUCACACCGGUGUUGAGACUGCUCUCCUUCUGAGCUGUGUCUGCAGUGAAGUCUUGCAGAGUAUGAGCCUCCUGACCCCAGCCCCAGCCAAAAAAAAGAAGGGGGGGCUGUUCUGCUUGACUGAAGCCAUUUGCUUGAUCCAUAAACAAGAUGAGCUGCACUGUGAGGGGGCUCCCAUUUAUAGCAUCUGGGAAUCUUUCCAGAGUAAGUUGUGCUUGCCUUGUCUGCAGACCUCUCCUUCCCCCUCAGCCCCCUUCACCCCCAUGACUUAAAAAAUACAAACCCCAGCAGAUGUCCAUAGGAGGGGGAAAAAAAAAAAAGUGAGACAAAAAGCACUGAUUUGCUCAAAUCUCUUGCUAAGGAAACCAUUCCCCAGCUCCCUUUGUGUUUAAAAGCUUGAGGCCCCUGGUUUAGAGAAAUCCUAGAAAUACAACUUAAAGAGCUCAGUGGGACCGUGCUGUGCUGAGAGGCUGCCUGCUUACUGAUGGGGAAUGUUUGGAAAAACAGCACCUAAUGCCACCAAGGUUUCCAUUCGCACCUCUCCUGUUCUACACAUUUCAUGGAGAGCCUGGCCUGAAGUGUAGGAGCCUUUUAUGUGUUAUUUAGACAAGUAAGUGACAAAAAAACACUGGAUUGUAGCCUGAAUGCUUUGCUAAAUCUUUAGGUCUUCCUAGUUCAGGCAGAAAGAAAGGAAGGAUUUAAGCAAUGAGGGAAGACCAAAGGAAGAUGAAAAAGUUCAAGUCAGUAAAGGACUAUGAGUGACACAGAGCUGAGUGCCUGGCCAUGGGUGAACCCACAUUAGUGAAGUGCAGUGGUGGCUCUUUGUGGGUUGGUGGACUACAGGACACAGGAGCUGGGGCAGAAGAUCUCAUCCCUACACUUACAAAGCUCCCUUAGGAGCUUAGAGAUCUCUGAGCAUUCCUUCCCCUCAUGCCAACCCUGAUGCCAGAGUCAGAGUCCAAACAGACUGCCAGACAGUGGUUCCAAAGCCAGCACUUGAAACCAAGGCCAGGAUGCUGGAAGCCAGCUCUCAGUAUGCCCUUCUAUGGCUAUAGGGUCUGUCAGAUCUUGCCUUUGGCGUGGUUUGAAGCUCCCAUGAGCUGUAAUCUGUGGUCUCUUUUUUGUUUUACACUGACUGUACAACAUGGGCCUUCAGGGGAUGUUCAUGGCUGACUUAUGGGGUGGGAAACAGGGAGUUCAUAAGCUUCCUAGCAUUUGUCUGCCAGAGCUCCUGACUGGCAAUGCAAUGCUGCUGCACAGAGGGAAGGCCACAGACCCUUUUCAGUCCGAAUACUACUGGAGAUUUUUGCAAGCCCAGCAUGAGACAGGGAUGAAUCCCCAGCGCAGUUGUGUAACAUGAUUAUGCUGAAGCAAUAGGACUCUACUGAUGCCUUACAAAAAGUAAAGCUAUGGUCCUACCACACAUGGCCGGAAGGAUGCAAAACUCAAAAGGCUCCAGUUUGUCCAGUGCUGUUAAAUGCCACAGCUCUGCUACUGAAGGGGGACCAAUGUCACCAGGAGGGCUACGCUCUAUGUGAUAGGGAAAGCCUAACGCUUUUUGCUGUUUCUAGGAGAUCCC
rnacentral:lncRNA from 1 species